rnacentral:lncRNA from 1 species
AUGGUAAAGUUCAUUUGUCAAUCUCUUAUAUUGGGACUUUUUUGCAUUGCGUUGGUCAUGGCUUCAGGAGCAACAGUGGAUUUAGAAGACAGUUCAGUUUAUAAAUGCAUUGCUGCAUGCGAUAGUAAAUGUGUCCAAACGUGCAAUGCUAGGGGAUUUAGUAAUGGAGCUUGUUUCGCAAUGUUUUGUUGUUGUUUCAACAAUGGAAAGUAG